CGGUCGCUCUCUCCACGUAACCACGGCGUGCGUUGACGGCGCCUCGCCCGGUAGGCAACCACGUGUUCACCUCGCUAGAUCAGAUUUCUCGAUGGAAUAAUACAACUGAUGAUAUCCGAUAUUUGUUCCUGAUAUGUAAAGGUGUACCGAGACAAGGCAUUUCGAAGCUCAAGAUUACAUUCGGCAUCAACGCGAGUUUUAGGGAUCCAGUUGGUGAAACGAUUCUAUGGGUAAUACGGUCAUCAAGCUUUUUUUCGUCGGCAAGGAGCCUUCAAAAUUAUCUUAUUUCGCGUGAACUGUCCAGAAUUUUGAGUCUUGCUUAAAUCUAUAAAAAUCGCACCAUUUACCUCGACCUGUGUCUAUUUUGACUUGAUCGGCCAUUUCGUGGGUGAAGAUGAUUUGUGACCCCAAGAACUUUCAACACGAUCCCAUUAAUUCGGAGUGCGUUUAUGGAAGGCUAGUCCUCAGUACCCCCAGUGAGAAGAGUGUGUUUAUUCGACUUUCACAUGAGCAAAUUACCUAUUCUACUCGCAUCAAAGGUUGAAUUGAAACUUUCCUGCAAGGUUACAAAGUGCUAGGAAAUAGAACGGUAUUAGUGUCAAAAGUUAUUUCACGACUUCUUUGACACAGUUUAGUUCUGAGAUAAAACAAACCAAGCUACGCUCUGUACCGAAGAAAUCUCUGAAAACAUAUUAAAAAAUGAAAUAAUGCCCUGAAAUCAAUCGGGCGAAAUAAAUAAUAGACCCAAUUAAGAGAGGCUAUUUUCUACACUUGCGUUUUUGUCGGUUAUUAUUCGAGUUAGAUAAAGUGAAAUCAAUCGGGUGAAAUAAAUAAGAGACCCAAUUAAGAGAGGCUAUUUUCUACACUUGCGUUUUUUGUUGGUUAUUAUUCGCGUUAGAUAGGUUCUUGAAGGAAAAUGACCUGAUAUCUAGGAUGCUGCUUACGGAGGGACCAACACACC
rnacentral:lncRNA from 1 species